rnacentral:rRNA from 1 species
GAUGAACGCUAGCUACAGGCUUAACACAUGCAAGUCGAGGGACCGGCGCACGGGUGAGUAACACGUAUCCAACCUUCCCUUUACUCGGGGAUAGCCUUUCGAAAGAAAGAUUAAUAACCGAUAUAAAGGAUGGGGAUGCGUUCCAUUAGGUUGUUGGUUAGGUAACGGCUCACCAAGCUGUCGAUGGAUAGGGGUUAUGAGAGGAAGGGACACCGCGUUGGAGCGUGGGCACAAACCAAAAUCCGACGGGAGGCAGCAGUACGGAAUAUUGGUGAAUAGACGCUAGCCUGAACCAGCCAAGUAGCGUGAUGAAUGAAGGCUUAUGGGUCGUAAAGUUCUUUUAAAUAAGAAUAUGUAUUAUAUAAAUAAGGAUCGGCUAACUCCGUGCCAGCAGCCGCGGUAAUUC